GAUGAAGAACGCAGCGAAAUGCGAUAAGUAAUGUGAAUUGCAGAAUUCAGUGAAUCAUCGAAUCUUUGAACGCACAUUGCGCCCGCCAGUAUUCUGGCGGGCAUGCCUGUUCGAGCGUCAUUUCAACCAUCAAGCCCCCGGCUUGUGUUGGGGACCUGCGGCUGCCGCAGGCCCUGAAAAGCAGUGGCGGGCUUGCUGUCACACCGAGCGUAGUAGCAUACAUCUCGCUCUGGGCGUGCUGCGGGUUCCGGCCGUUAAACCACCUUCAUAACCCAAGGUUGACCUCGGAUCAGGUAGGAAGACCCGCUGAACUUAAGCAUAUCAAUAAGCGGAGGA
rnacentral:misc_RNA from 1 species